AGUUGCUCAUUCAAUUUUUUAUGUCGGUCCACAAAAUAGAGUGGAAAUAUGCCACAUAAGCCGGGAAUGACGCCAAAGUAAGGUGCCUACCGUCCAAUUAAUGAUAUUCGCUUUCUGGCCUUAUCAAGCAACGGGCGACACGUGGAGUGAGGCACCACCUA
rfam:Xenorhabdus cabanillasii JM26, WGS project CBXE01000000 data, contig: XENCA_2134_Contig_6